GCAUGGUGGUUAUUGGGAGCAUAGAUGGGGGCACCAUUAGAAGCAUGGUCGAAUCAAGAAGGUCCACGAAGCAAUAUUCGACCAUGAAACCUCACACACAACACCCUCUCACAAAUCUAACCCAGCAACAUGAAACCCUUCGAAAUUUCUCUGCAAUCACAGAAAAUGGCACCACCAAUACCCCAUUAGCCCAAGAGAGCAACGACAAGAAACCUCACACACAACACCCUCUCACAAAUCUAACCCAGCAACAAGAAACCCUUCAGAAUUUCUCUACGGUCACAAAAAAUGGCACCACCAAUAACCCAUUAGCUCAAGAGAACAACGACAUUGAUACCAGGGUCCCACCUAGUUCUAACAUAGUACUCAGCAACGACGAGAAUGUUUCUUUUGCUCAGAAUUUUUCAGAUGGAGUUUUGGAGAAUUUAGCCUCAGGAAGGAAUGGAUCAGAUGGUAGUGUGAAGUGGGUGUCGACUGAACUGGAGCCAAACUUGACGGAAAACCUUCUUUCAAGGUGGCUAGCUCCUGAAGGGGAGCCUUGUAGAGAGUCACGUACGGUGGAGAUUGUGAUUCCUGGACUGGAUGGUAAAGAUUUGAUUGAGUUGACGGCUGGUGAUAGUCAUGAAUUUGGUUUUCAAGCUCUGGAUGAGUCCAAGAAUCUUGUUUGUUCAGGUGGCGAUUAUUUCGAGACUGAUCUUUCAGGGGAGUCAUGGAAAUCAAGGCCUUUAGUAAGGGAUUUUGGAAAUGGGUCUUACUCUAUUUUGCUUCAAGUUCAUCCUGAUUUUGCUGGUGAUUAUAAUCUUACUCUUAUUUUGCUCUAUAGGCAUUUUCAAGGUCUUAAAUUUUCACCGUGGAGAUUUGUUUUUGAUAAACAAUUGCGUAAGUUUCGAAUCAAGUUUGUUAAGGGUGGUGCUCAGUUGCCAAAGAUUGAAACUUGUGAAAAAUCUGAUUUCAAUAGAGAUCUUUGGCUAGGAAGGUGGACUAGGCAGGCUAAAAAUGAUGGUUGCCAAAUCAGUAAUGACGGCCGGUACCGCUGUCUGGCACCAGAUUUUCCAUGCCAAAGUCCUUGGUGUGGUGGUUCCUUAGGGUUGUUAGAGAGUAAUGGCUGGGUGUACUCAAGCCACUGUUCAUUUAGGCUUUUCUCAGCUGAUUCUGCUUGGAAUUGCUUGAAGAAUCGCUGGAUUUUCUUUUGGGGUGAUUCAAAUCAUGUUGAUACUAUAAGAAACAUGCUCAAUUUUGUGUUGGAUUUGCCUCAAAUACCAUCAGUUCCUAGACGGUUUGAUAUGAACUUUUCAAACCCGAAAGAUGCAUCUCAAAGUGUUAGAAUUACUAGCAUUUUCAAUGGUCACUGGAAUGAGACAAUGAAUUAUGAAGGAUUUAACUCCUUGAUGGAUGAAGGAUUUAGGAAUCUGUUGAAGAAGUACUUCUCAGAGGACACAGUGCCAGACACUAUAAUCAUGAAUUCAGGUUUACAUGAUGGCGUGCAUUGGCAUAGUCUUAGAGCAUAUUCAGAGGGAGCAGGGUAUGCAGCAUCAUUCUGGAAAGAAGUCAUGGACUCGGUGAAGCAGAGAGGGAUGGCAGUUCCACAGAUCUUUUACCGGACAACAAUAGCCACUGGUGGGUACGCAAGAUCACUAGCAUUUAAUCCGAACAAGAUGGAGGUAAUUGGGUUGCAUUAGAUAAAUUCAGGCGAGCUGGGUUGGUUUCUGGUGUGAUAGAUAACUUUGAUAUGACUUUUCCAUGGCAUUUUGACAAUCGGUGCAGUGAUGGGGUACAUUAUGGCAGAGCUCCGGCUAAGAUGAAGUGGAGGGAUGGUGAAAUCGGCCACCAGUAUUUUGUGGACCUCAUGCUUGCUCAUGUGCUGCUCAAUGCUUUGUGUUCAAGGUAGCAAGAUUUAUUCUUUUGACCUCAUGCCAGCUUUGCGGAACUAGCACAUGUACAUCAUGUUGGCUCACACUGCUCUUUCUUGGUUAGGAUUGGCAUUCUUUAUUUGUUUGUAGAUGCAAUGUUUACAGAGGUAUAUUAUGAGACAAUAACUACAUUAUCUAUUAUCUUAUUCUAUUGUAAUUAUUACAUAGAUUUGGUGGGAAUUCAGUGUUCGUUUAAGAAGUUCAAUCACAUUGCCUUAUUGAAAUCUGAAGUACAAAUCAGUUCCUAUAACAAAAAAUACACAAAAUUCAAUUUCUAGCAAACUCAAUAUCCUAAAACAAAUCAAUUAACACACAGCAAACUCAGGUAAACUCAACAAACCCCGCAAUCUAGAUCAUAUAAAUGGGAUAACCAAUACAAGGUAAAAAAAAUGUAGUUCAAUUCUAAAACCAAACCAAUUCUUAAUCGGGAAAAUGAAAAAAAAAACUCUAAAAAAAGACUCGAGUCAACCCAUCAAACCCGUAACUUAGGUAAUGUGAUGCAACCAUAUUAAUCUAUAGUUUCACUUGUACUUAACUAGUGUUUUGCCUAUGUUUUAUAUAUAAAUGUCUUGAUAUUCUUUGUUUUAUGUUUUGAAGGCAUUUUGGAUGAAAGAUGCAAAAAUAAGUAAAUUGAAGGUAAUUGAUAGAUUUGACCUUCAGUCGAUGUUUUGUGCAGAGCGUGAGCUCUAGAGGUCGAAAUAAAAUGAUUCCAGUGGCAUUGAAAGCUAACAUUCAUACAUUUCUAGAAAUCUAAGGCAAGAAAAUAAAAUAAGGAAGAACAUGGAAAUUGCAGCCUUCGAAGUCAUAUCUCGCAAUCUAUCAAUGUUGACCUUCGGCCAUUCCGACUUGAAUAUCUGAAGCUACAGAAGUCCAAUUGAUGCGAACUCAAUUUUGGAUUCAUGACUCAAAGGCCUAUCAACACUCCAUAUUUCAGCCAAAAAAUAUUGUCAUAUAAGGGAGAUAUGAUUUUUUAAAGAUGACAACUGAAUUCUACCAACAAACAGGUUUUGUGAAGAAACAAGUUCAAAUUAUGUUCCGAAGCAUCUAAACCGAUAUCCAAGUUUUUAUUUCAGCAAUUUAGCUCCUCUAAGUCAAAGCUUGAAAAUUUCAUGCAAGGCUAUAUUUUUUUUUAGAAAAAUAGUUAUUGGAGUAUUUAAAUAUAAACAGUUAACUUAAAGGACUAUUUUGUAAAAUAGAGACUAAGAUUUCCUAGGAUAUGAAAAGAAUGAGAGAAGAGAAGGGGGGUAGCCAGCCAAGAGGAGAAAAAUGCUUCCCCUCCUCUAAGAAACCCGAAAUCAUGCAUUCUCCAUCUUUUUUUAUUAGUUGUUCAACAAACAUGCAAAGCUAAACUCGUUUUCUUGGUUACAAGGACACAAAACCUUCGUAUUUCAAGAACUAUGAGAUUUACUUUACCUUUUCUUUUCAGUUUAUAUGAUGAAUAUGUUUGUUCUCCUAUGCUUAUUUUUCCUAUGAUUGUUUAUUUUAAUUGAUAGAGCGGACUCUAAGUUAUUAUUGUAGACAAUCUGUUUCUAAGUUUGAUAUCAAAACCGGAGUUAUGGUAUAUGAAUUUGUGAAGCAACUAAGUUUAAUAAUUGUGGUGGAUCUACGUUAUUAAUCUUAAAGAGAACAUUCAAUCAAAUCAAACAUAGACUAUGGACAGUUAUGUUUUCUUGAUUAAUCAACUUAUCUAGUUCUUAAGGCUACCAUUGAAUUAAAUUACUAGUGCGGACACUGUGGUUGUUUGAUGAUUAGGGUUAGUUAUACGGCAGAUUCGUUGACUAACCAAUGUUAAGAAGAGAUAAAUAUUUAGAAUAUAAAUUGAUGUUUCGUUUCCAUGAUCAGUUCUGAUUUAUGUAGGUGGAUGUGUGCUUGUGACCAAGGUUUGUUCUCUUGAUAAUUUUCUAAUUUUAUUAAAUUCUGUUUGAUAGUUUUUUGUUUUCUUUUGCUUCAGCUUAGGUAAUGUCCAAACCCCUCCCCAAAUUGCAUAUCAUCUAGCAUAAAAACCUGACUUGAACCUUCCUUGUGGGAUUGACCCCUUCCUUGCUCUAUGUUAUCUUGUAUGUUGUGUUUUAAGCGAGGGUAAUUAAUUUUUGCAACCGUGACAUCGCAACAUAAUGAAACUAAGAUAACUCCAUAUAAAGAAAACCAAGGAAAAUCAUAAAGUCCAAUUUGAAAAGAAAAAAAAACCAAUAUCAAAGGAUGAAAUUAAAAAUAAAAACAACAUAAGAAAAAAUAAACCCUAAAAAAAAAUGAUGUCAACCCGGGUUAGCUUUUCAAACUCAUAACUUGAGCCUUGAGACCAGGAUCACCCAAUCAGAAAAAACAACGAAGUUAAGUUCCUAACCAACCUAAUAUUGAAGGAAAAAAAAAGUUAAUUUUUACAAAAGGAUCCAAAACAGAAAAUAACAAUAAAAAAAAUAAAGACCAAAUUUGCAUUUAAAAAAAAAAUUAAGAGGACAAAUUUCAAAUUUGCAUUAAAGGAUGAAAUUGAAAAAAAAUCAAUUUUAUUAAAGGAAAAAAAAUAGUAACUAAAAAAACGAUGACCAAAUUUUAAAAAAAAAAACAAAUGAGAGGACAACUUAAAAUUUUAGAUUAAAGGAUGAAAUUGAAUUUUUUUUACAAAAGGCCCUAUAACAAAAAUUAGUAAUAAAAAAAAUAAAGACUAAAAUUAAAAUGACUAUAGAAUGAGAGGACAACUUUUAAUUUUAAAUGGAGAAGCGUGAAUUCUGAGGAGGGAGGGGGGGGGAGAGAGAGGAGGGAAAUUAGAAUGAAAGGGUUUUUGAUGACAAACCUCCACAAUUCAAAGGCCACGUGACACAUGAGGUGGAAGAUCAUGUAGCAAGGCUUCCAUAACCACUACGAAAGAGGGUUUUUGGUUAAUGUAUGAUGCUGCUAGAGCAUUGUAACAUCCUUCACUUGCAUGUGCUAGCUAUUCUUAACUUGUUCGUUAACUUUAGUCCCCCAUAUUUGUUUUAGUACCAAAUUUGGUUCCUGGAGACCUAAUUGCUUUAAAUCAACAAAAUUUAAUUUUAUUUUGGUAAACCGAGCACCAAAACUUUUCCUCGAUAUUGCAAGAUCUCUAUAUCUCAGCAACAAAAACAAAUCAUUAAGUCAAUUUAAUUUUUUUUUUUUAAGAAUUAAAUUUUAAAAAAAGUUGAGCAACUGAAAAAAAAAAAAUAUAAACCCCCCCAACGCCCAUGCAACUUGGUCCCUGAUAGGAGGAAAUUAAAAGGACUUAAUGCUUGUCGAAGCCUCAAAUUAGGUCCUCAAAGCUCUAAUUGCUCUAAACUAAUACAAUUGAAUUCUAUUUUUCUAAACUGGAUAUUAAUUGAGAAACAAAAUAUUUUCUUGACACCUUGUGAUCAUUAUACGCAAGCAUACAAAAUAGCUCAUAAAGCCCAAAUCCAAAUUAUUGCAAUGUCAAAGGACCAAAUAAAUAAAAAUAAUUAAAGGACAAAAACAUAAAACACAAAAGGAUAAAAAAAAAAGAAGAAAAAAGAAAUCAUCAUAGAUUAUUGUUGUAAUCCACAAUGAUUUCUCUUUUGGGUUACAAUAACUUCUCUCUUGGGUUACAACAACUUCAAGAGGAGAUUUAGUUCUUUUAAAAUUUUAAUAUGCAUGCAGUGAAUUAUAUUUUAAGUGAAUUUCAAUAGAUUUAACAGUUUUCUGCAAGUGAUUUGUGCAUACAAUGUACUUAUUUGAUUAAGCAAUUAUUUUAUGCUUUAGAUAUCGCUUUAUAAGAAUCAAGUAUUUAGGUAAUAAAGGCCAAAUGCUUGUUUAUGUACAAAUUCUUAGCUAUGUUUUUCAUUUCGGUUGUUAAACAUUGUUUCAUUGAUUUCUCAAACAUUACAAAUAUGAAACAUAUUUCAUUCCCAACUCUUUUGCAUGUUUUUGUUAAUAAAAGUAGCUAUCAAAGACGUAAUGUAAGAAUUUUGUAUGUUUUUGUUCAUGCUUAUUCAUUAUAUUAAAAGAAUGUGCAUUGGUUUCUAACAUGUUACCAUAAAGUUAUGAUGCAUGUUGAGGUUUUAACUUUAAUAGGUUAACAUAUUAAGUGAUUAAGUAUGUUCUUUAUGGAGUGUAUACAUCUUGUAGUCAAUUUUACAUGUGUUAUUAACAUUGUUCAAGUUUAAACAUAUUUAUUAUUAAUAAAGGGAUAAAGAGUUUAUUUGUCUUUAAUAUUUAUUUGUGUUUGAUUAAUAUUUGAUUAAUUAAUCUAGAAUAAAGAUAAUAUUCUUAUGAAAAAAAUGUUUUUUUAAACUAUAAAGUUGUUGUAAUUAUGAGAUUCUUAUUGCGUUAAAACAUUAUUCUUAAAUGUUCCUUGUUGAUGCUCUAUUAAGACUAUACAUUAAUUAGAGAUGUUGAGAUUAAUACAUAUUAUGUUAUUUCCUUAACGAAAGGCAAUAAUUAUUCUCAUAAGCUAAUAUAUGAAUGAUACUUGAAACUAGUAUGUAGGUACUUGUCACAUGACAUAUACAUUGAAUUGGCCUGCAUGAAGAUUCUAUAUGGAGAAAUCAUGUGUCUAUAAAGAGGCUCAUUUGAUAAUUGUAUAUAUGGUCCUUAGACUCGAAAUCACUAAGUUAUCUUAUAUAGGGAAUAUUAUGCUAUGAUCAUGACUACACAUUGUUAUAAUCAAGGGUAACAAACACGUAUAUAUUGGAGAUAACAUGAACUAUAUAAUAUAAGUUAUCAAGAGAGGAUUUAUCACAUUAAGUGAAUUAGAUAUAAUGUUCCUAACAUUUCUCAAAUAGUAUUAAUUCUAAAGUCCUUACGUAAGGUGAAAUGAGUUUUGAAAAGAGUCUCAAAUCUUAUCCAAAUGAUCAAUAACCAUGAUAUUGAAAACAAAAAUGAUUUGAUAGAGCCCACGUACUCUAUUCUAUAAUGUCUAAAUCAAAACAUUCUUGAUGAAGAGAUAAUAAUUACACUGAGAAAUUAGUCACUAAAAUGUUAAGUCAAACCACUUAUGACUUUCCUGGUAUUUGAGGGAUUAUAACACGUUACUAAACAUUGUACUUGAUAUUUAAAUAUAUACAAGUCAAUUUAUUAAAUUAAUAAUAAGUUAAAUUAGUUAGUUUAUUUAAUCCUAUUUGAUGCAAACCUCGUGAUCAUAUGGUUAUGCAACUCAUAAAGAUUGAGAUCUGAUCCUGAAAAGCCGAAAGAGGUUUGAUAGGAGUGACAUAAUGAAAACUUGUCUCAAGGCACUAGCAUUAUUUGAAUGAAGUCAAAUGACCCCAUGAAGCUAGUUAAUCUUUGAUAAGUCAAAUUCAAUUUGUUCAAGAACCAAAGAAUGCAAGUUCUCUCACAAGUUAAAGCUGAAAAGUUCAGAAGUAUUGUUCAUCAAUGGUCGCUGAAAUUUAGGCUUACAUAUGUUUAAAUAGUUCUAAACAAUUAACCCGAAUGGAUGUACUCUUGUGAGUUGAAUUGACUUACAUACAAAAACUAACAUAAAACCUUUACUAAUAAGCCCAAACCCUGAUCCAAUCAAGCCUUGGAUCCUAACUAAAAACAAAGUAUUAAUUAAGCUCAAACAAGCCUUGAGUUGUAGCUAACAAAAUAAAAAUAAAGCAUAUAAGUCCGUAGUCUUUAUUUAUCAUGAGAAGAGAAAAAAAAAAGACAUUGUAGGUUUGAUAGAAGACUUAUUUAUAGCCUAUAAAGUUGCCCAAUAAUCCUAAGAACUAAAGUAGAAGUUGUCACCCCUUUGGUUUCCAAGUUAGAAUUAGAUUUUGAUCUCAACAUUGUACUUGUUCUUCUUUUGAAAGGAAAAUGAUGUUGCCUUUAAUGCUCCUCUUUGCAACCUCUUGGUAUCCUUUCAAUAUUAGAAAACACAAUUAAGUUGAUAAAUUAUUCUCUUUGUACAACAAGGAGACUGUGUUGGCUAUGUGUUUUCUAAGUAAGCUUGGAUUCAUUUGUUUCCUCUAUACGUUUUCUACUCACCUAACAAGAUAAUAAAAUAAAAAUAAUAAAUUCUAAUCUUUAAAAGAAAUAAUCAAUGUUCCCACACAUAAUGGAAACAUCACAUAACAAGGUUGGCCAAAACUAGUACAAAAUUGGCAGCCUUGUUAUCAUAACUUCAUGGUCUAAAUAAGGGUGGAUUGAACCUCUUUCGCAUAUGGAUUAAAUGUACUAAGACAUCCUCUUGAUGCUCUAAAGGAUUCUCAAGUUCAGCUUUGGUCGAAACAUGCACAAUCAAUUCAUUCAAUGCUUCUUUCAAUGCCUUCAUUUUGGACCUUGUGGUGGGCCCAUUUGACACGUGUAAUGGUCCUUGGUGUUCAUGGGAUGAUCCACAUCAUCCCCUCUCUCCUCAAAAGGAUUCGACAUUGAAUCAAAACUUGUGUUAAACAAAGUAAGAUCAGUAACAUUAAAAGUAGCACUGACAUCAUACUCACUUGAAAGAUUAACUUUGUAAGCAUUGCCAUUGAUUCUCUUUAAAACUUAGAAUGGAUCAUCACCAUAAGGCUAUAACUUUGACUUCUUAUGGUUAGGAAAUCAUUCCUUACACAUGUGCACCCAAACCUAAUCAUCAUAUUGGAAAACAAUUUGUUUACGCUCCUUAUUUGCUUUAGAAGUGUUCAACUUGUAUCUUUUUUCUAUUUGUAGUUGAAAUUUCUCAUGAAGUUGUCUGGCCAUCUUUGCCAUCUUUUCACCAUUUGAACUUACCCUUUCUUCCAAAGGUAAAUGAAUUAAGUCCAUAUGUAUUGGUGGAUUAAACUCAUAAACAAUUUUAAAAGGAAAAAAAUAAUUGGUCGAAUGCACAGUUCUAUUAUAAGCAAACUCAACAAAAGACAAACAUUUUUCCCAACUUUUUAGAUUCUUUUGAAUAACAACACUCAAAAGUUGGGAUACAUUUCUAUUCAAUACCUUAGUUUUCUCAUUUAUUUAAGGAUGACAAGUUGUCAAAAAUAAGAGUUUAGUUCCUAGCUUUCCCAACAAAAUCUUCCAAAAGUAGCUAAGGAAUUUAACAUCUCGAUCUGAAACUAUACUCCUAGGAAUGCCAUAUAAACGUACAAUCUCCCUAAAAAACAAGUCUGCAGUAUGAGAUGCAUUAUCAAUCUUAUAUUAUGCAAUGAAAUAUGUCAUCUUAAAAAACCUAUCAACCACAACAAAAAUAUAAUCUCUACCUUUCUUUGAUCUGGGUAAAUCUAAAACAAAGUUCAUAGAGAUAUUUUUCCAAGGUUCAGUAGGUACAAGUAAUUGUGUAUACAUUCCAUGCGGUUAUACUCUAGAUUUUUCCUUUUUACAAGCAUUGUAUUGUUCAUAGAUUCAUUGUACAUCCUUUUUCAUCUUUGGCUAAUAGAAAUGUUCAUGCAAUACAUCCAAAGUUUUUGCAACCCUAAAAUGAUCCAUUAAACCACUCUUAUAUGCUUCACGAAGAAGCAAUUCAUGCAAAAAAAAGUAGCAGGAACACAUAUUCGAUUCUCUUUGAACAAGUAACCAUCUAUUAAAUAAAACUUACCAAAAGAUAAAGGUCCACAUGCAUUAAAUAUUUUGAAAAAGUUAGAAUUAUUAGCAUACAAUGCCUUCACAUAUUCAAAGCUUAUCAAUCUAGUACUUAUAAUGUUUAAAAGAACAUAUAUGAGUGAAAGUGCAUCAACCACUAUGUUCUCUUUACCUUUUUAUACUUUAUUAUAUAAGGAAAAGUCUCAAUGAAUUCAACCCAUUUUGCAUGUUUUUUAUUCAACUUACGUUUUCCUUUCACAUGUUUCAAAGAUUCUAUAGAUUACAAACUCCUUUAGCCACAAGUAAUACUGUUAUGUCUUAAGUGUUCUUACCAAAGCAUACAGUUCUUUGUCAUAAGUGGGAUAGUUCAAAGUUGCUCCACUUAACUUCUCACUAAAAUAAGCAAUAAUUCAAAUUCUAGAUGCAUCACGUUCAAUUUCAAAUGUUUUUGUAAAAUCAAGUAAAGCUAAAACAGGUGCAGAACAUAAUUUUUCUUUUAAAAAACCAAAAGUCUAUUCUUGUUCCUCCCUUUAUUUAAACCCAACUGAUUUUUUAACAACUUCAUUUAAGGGUGUUGCUAAUAUAUUGAAAUCUUCCACAAAACACUUAUAAAAAAUAAUUACUCCUUAUCUCACUUAUUGAUUUUGGUGUAGGCCAAUCCUAGAUGGCCUUACCUUUCUCCUCAUACAUCUCGAUAUCAUAUGCAGUUACAACAUAACCAAGACACACAAUUUUAUCUAUGCAAAGUAUACACUUCUUAAGAUUAGAAUACAAUUUCUCACUGCACAAUAUACUAAGUAUAUUACGCAAAUAAUCAAGAUGUUCAUUUAAGUUCUUAUUAUAGAUUAAAAUGUCGUCAAAAUACACAACCACAAACUUACCUAUAAAUGCAUGAAAUACAUGAUUCAUUAAACACAUAAACAUACCAGGUGCAAUUGUAAGUUCAAAAGGCGUGACUAACCAUUCCUACAAACCAUACUUAGCCUUAAAUGUAGUUUUCCACUCAUCACCUUCUUUCAUCUUAAUCCAACGGUACCUAUUUUUCAGAUAAAUUUUAGAGAAAAUACAUGAUCCAUGUAACUCAUCUAGCCUAUGAAUGAGAUGUCUAUACUUUAUCGUUAUAUUGUUGAUGGCUUGACAAUCAACACUCAUCCUUCAUAUUCCAUCCUUAUUAGGCAUAAGUAACACUAACACAACAUACGAGCUAAUACUCUCAUGAAUUUGAUGUUGUAUUCCCAUCAGCUCAUCAACUUGCCUAUGAAGCUCCUUCAUUUUCUCGGGAUUGCUUCUAUAGGCAGGAAUCAUAGCCCCGGAUACAAGAUCAAUCUAAUGUUUUAUUCCCUUCAAGGGUGGUAAUCUUCUAGGGAUAUCUCUAGGGAUCACUUCAUCAAACUCCUACAAAAAAAUAAAUAGCAACACUGAACACAACAUGAUCAAUAUUGUUAGUAUUAAAGUAGUCUUAUUUAUACACAACCAAAAUCAUUAGCUUGUUAAUGAAAAAUACAUAUCUGACCUCACCUUCUUUAGCAUAAAAAUUUGAUUAUUUUUUUAUUUUUUUCCACAUAAUUCUCGUCACACUUCUUGACUUUCUUCACUUCUCUUGUCUUACAUCCACUCUCGGCCAGAUUUGGAUGUUUUUGGGUAGUGGUUAAAUGUUCUGAUUUGUUUGGAGUGUUGGUUGAAUGUUUGUUUGUAUUUGGAUGGGUGGCCAAAUGGGUUGUAAUAGUUUUUUGGGUUUUGGUCGAACCUGUUGGCAUUCUCUCCCCUUAUUCCUCACCUUGAUUUUCUCUUUUUAUAGCAUCGUGCUCAUUUUUUUAGCUUUUUUGAUCAUUAUACACUUGUUUAGGUGUAAAAGGUGCAAGAGUGAUGAUUUUACCAUCUUUUACAAAUAUAUACCUAUUUUUAACCCAAUUAUGACUUGCCUUCCUAUCAUACUAUCAUGGUCUCCCUAAUAAGAUGUGACUUGCUUGCAUUGGUAUCACAUCACAUAGAAUUUCAUCAAUAUACUUUCCAAUUAAAAAUGGAACCACAACCUUGUUUUAUACAUAGCAUCGCAUAUGAAAGAUGUUUUCCCUUUACUGAUCACUGUCAUCUUUCUUCACCUGAACCAGAAGUAUACACCUUAUAACCAAAGACUCCUUAACAAGUAACACCAGUUCAUAUUUAGUACAAUCCUUAAAUGGUGAAAUGUCUUCACAGUCUGAUUUGUCACUCUCGAACUCCAUAUCACCAUUCUCUCUCAUCACAAUUAUCCUCUUAUUUGGACACCCUGAAGCGUAAUGUCCAAGCCCAUGACAACUGAAACACUUAACAUCUUAAAUAUGUUUUGGUUCAGAUUUAGUUUUACCUUUUAAACUCGUAAAGGUUUUGACUUUAGCUUUUAAUAGUUUGGCUUUAGUAGGGACAAAAGGCUUUGGUUGGGCAACCCCCUCCCUCCCCUGAUUCAGCCUUCAUGCUAAUGAAGAUGAAGCUGAAUUGGUCUGAAAACAUGUGUUGCCCCUUCUCUUUAUUUGCCUCUCCACCUUUGUUGCCAUAUGGAUCAUAUCCUCUAACUCCACGUAAUGUUGUAAUUCCACCACAUUUGCAAUCUCUAUAUUCAAUCCAUUAAGAAAUCUAGCAAUCGUGGCCUUUAUAUCAUCAAUUUUAUUGGCCUGAAUCAUUGCGAUCUUUAUUUCCUUAUAAUACUCAUCCACUGACUUAGAACCCUGAUGUAAACUUUGUAAUUUUAAAUACAAAUCCUUAUAAUAAUGGUUAGGCACAAAUCGCCUCCUCAUCAACACUUUCAUCUACUCCUAUAACGUUAUUGGCCUUUCUUCAUUCCUUCUCCUACUAAUCACAUUCUGAUCCCACCAAAUCAAUGCAUAUUCUGUAAAUUCAAUGAUUACAAAUUUCACCUUCCUCACCUCUAAAUAGCUUCGAUAAAAAAAAUAAUCCAAUCCACCUUGUUUUGUGGUCCAAAUACACAUGAGAUCAUUUUUACCUUGAAAUCUGGGUAUUUUCAUCUUAAUAUCAUUCAAAUCACAUCUACAUCAUCAUGUUCUCUGAACUUAUGGAAAUUUCCCUUCUAGCUAAAUUCACCCCUAGUUCUAUUCCUAAAAUCCCUUUGGUUUGUAGGUUUUUGAAAAACCUCCUUUAUAGCCUAUGGUCUCACCCCUAGACUUUUCACUCUAAUAAACUUACUACACCUUUUACCUCACAACUUGCUUUCUUUCAGUUCUUUCAAAACUGAAAAUCCAACCAAUCAAAGUCAGAGGUUUUUGCAAUGCAUUCACAUUAUGAAUAUAGACUGAAGAAUUAAUAAAUAUAAUAACAAGCAAAGCAAAAUAAAACUACGAUUAUGAUUUUGCGAGUAGCAAUGUAAAUUCAUAUGAAUUGUGGACUAAACGAAGACGCAAAAGAAAACAGAAAUUAAAAUUAAUGAAGACAUUUAUUUGACUCCUAAAUAACCCUAAUAUAACAUAUACAAAUUGAUUUUGUCAAAACAAUUGGUAGACAAACAUAUUUUGGAACUCGAUGCAAAUUUGACCCAUUAUGUAAAUGUAAAGCACCAGAAUUGAAAAAAAAAACUAAGAAUAUCAAAAUGAUCUUAAAUUAAAUGUGUAGUAUCUCGAUACCCAACAAGCUAUAUAUCUCAGUUUAUAGCUUGUAUCUUAUGUCUAGGUAAUGAAACCUGUGGACAAUGAGUUUGCGGCAAAAUUAAACCCCAAAUUAAACCUCAAGAAAAAGAUAUCAAAAUAAUCCCAAAUUUAAUAUAUAGUGUAAUUUCACCCCUAGUAGUAAAUAUAUGAAAUUUCAAUUAAUUAUGAGGUGUUUGCUUAGGGUUCUUUAAGAGUUGUGUUUUUGUAUCAAAAUUGUAAUAAACUUUGAAUAACAUCUAUUUCUUCUUCUCUUUUUACUUUUAUGCUACUGAUAUGUUAAAGACAAUAAAAAAAAAUAUUGAUGUUUUUUUACUAUUAUACCACAGACAUGGAGACAAAAAAAAAUUGACACAAACACCAAAAACUUAACAAACACUAGGAAAACAAAAUUUUCAAAAAGAUAUGGCAUGUUCUUAUAGCCUGGCUCUAAUACCAACUGAUGUCAACCUCAUAAUCAUGUGGUCAUGAAACCCAUAAUUAAGAUUAAGAUAUGAUCUUAGAAAGACAAAAAGAGAUCUAAUAGGAGUGUGACACAAUGGAAACAUGUCAUAUGACACCAACAUUAUUGGAAUGAAGUUGAAUGAUGCAACGAAGCAAGUUAAUCUUUGAUAAGUCAGAUUCAGUUUGUUCAAGAACCAAAAAAUACAAGAAGCUCUCUCACAUAUUAAAAUUGAAAAGUUCAAAAGUAUUAUUAAUCAACAGUCACCAGAAUUUAGGCUUAUAUAUGUUUAAAUAGUUCUAAAAAAUUAACCCUAAUGGAUUUAUCCUUGUAAGCUGAAUUGACCCAUAUACAAAAACUGACCUAAAACAUGUACUGGUAAGCCCAAACCCUACAAGCCUUGGAUCCUAACUGAAAAUAAAGUAUUCAUUAAGCCCAAACAAGCUUUGAGUUGGAGCUAACAAAAUAAAAAUAAAGUAUAUAAGUCCUAAGUCUUUAUCUACCAUGACAAGAGAAGAAGAAAAAAAAAAACAUUGUAGGUAUGAUACAAGACUUAUUUAUAGUCUAUAAUGCUUCCAAAUAAUCUUAGAAACUAAAGGAGAAGUUGUUACCCCUUUGGUUUCCAAGUUAGAAUAGGAUUCUGAUAUCAACCUUAUAUUUAUCCUUCUUUUGAAAGGAAAAGGAUCUUGCUUUUAAUGCUCCUUUUGGUAUCCUUCCAAUAUUAGAAAACACAAUUAAAUUGUUAAAUUAUUCUCCUUGCACAAUAACAAGACUAUGUUGGCAUGUGUUUCUUAAGUCAAAUUGGAUUCCUUUAUCUCCUAUGCUGUGUUUUCUCCUGUUGACAAGGAAAUAAAAUAAAAAUAAUAAGUUAUACUAUUUGAAAGAAAUAACCAAUGUUCCCAAACAUAAUUUGAAAUCCAAUAGUAGUUAGUACUCCACAAAACAGAUGGAAACAUCAAAUAACAAGGCUGGUCGAAACUGAUAAAAAUUAGCAACCUUAUUAUCAAAACUCCAUGGCCUAAAUAAGAAUGGAUUGGACCCCUCUUGCACAUGGAUUAAAUGUAUUAAGGUCUCUUCUUGAUGCUCGAAAGGAUCCCUAAGUUCAUCCGUAGCCGAAACUUGCACAACUAGUCCAUUCAUUGACUUCAUUUUGAACCUUCUAAUGAGCCCAUUUGGAACAUGUAAUGAGUCUUUAGUGUUCACAGGCUGAUCCAUAUCAAUAUUUUAUUUAGAAUUGUUAUUUAUAUAUGGGCCAAUACAUUAAGGAGCUUAGUAGGUUAUACAUAUAAGAUUUAUUGGUCAGAAACUAAAUUAGAAUAAUUAAUCAAUUGUGACUUGAAUGUAUAUAAGUUUCAGAAAUUAAGAAUUAGAAUGUAAUUGAUAUAGGAUAUCACAAUUCUAGACCUGAAAAAAUCAAGUAAGGACUUGAUUGACUAAGUUUUUAAAACUAUCGUAAAAUAAUAUAUGUAAUAUUAUUUAUGGGGUAAAUUGAUAAUUCAUUAUUUAUAGGGUUGUUAUGUUUUUUCUAUAAAUAGAAUGUUAUGCCUUAUAUCUUAUGAGAUAAGUAUGUUACAAAACAUACGAUAUGAGCGGUACAAAUGUUACAAAAUAAAUGGUACCAAGAAACAUAUAAAAUAGAAAAAGAAAGAAUUAGCACUCAUAGACAUAGAAAUAUCUCUCUCCUAAAAAGGGUUUUAGUAAAUUUCUCGUAAGUGAUUUGUAUGAAUUACUAUUAUAGACAAGAUAUUUGGAUACUUGUGGUUUAUUACAACCUAGCCUUAAAUAAGUUGAUCAAACCUCGAAAAGAAGAUAUAAUCUUUAGGUAAUCUUUAUAUAAACAUUAAAUGAUCCUAAAUUGUAUAAUGGGAUCCUUAGAUCUUUCAAAGAAUAGUUUAAAUUAUUGUUUUCACUACGUCUAAGAGUUUUGGAAACCCAACACCUUACAACUCAAUUAGCAUCCAUUCCCUCAAGUCUUUUCGUUAUGAAGAAAAAAAGACUUAAGAUUUGAAUUCAUUCAAAAACAAAAUGGCAUGUCCUUUGUUUUAUAUUUCUCUUCACUUUUGUUAAAGAUGUUUUUGGCAAUUUAAAAUAAAUUCAAAUUCAAAGGAUUGGGUUUCCAACCACUAUAGCAUACAUUUGAUGAGUACUAAUCUAACAAAAGUGGCUUCUUUUUUUUUUUUACCUUUUCUCCUCUGUAGAUACUAGUGAAAGUUUAUUUAGAAUAUGCCUAGUUUGAUUCCUUGUCAUAUCGGAGUAGAUUAAUUUUUUAACGCAAAAAGUUUUGGGAGUUAUUAACAUUUUUUUCUGUCAUUAAGAAAAAUUCUAACUGCUAACUAAAAAGUUGAUAUGUGCAUUCAUUUAAAUAAAUCAAGAAUUGUAUAUUCUAAUAAAUAAUAAUAAAUUUGUUGAUUUGAACAGAAAAUUGAGUUGAGAAGUUAUGAUCAUGUAUAUUAAGAUAUUUGAUCUCAUGUUACAGGGAGCUUUUUAAUUGUUUUUUUAGAACAUAGAUAAUUUAAACUUCAUUGAAAAAACCAAUUAAUGAGCAUAUUAUUAUCAAGAUUCUUCAUAUCAUUCUAAUACAUAAUUAUCCAUAAAGUAAUUGAUAAUAUCAUUGUAAAAAGAAUUUAUUCUUCUUUAAAAUAACAAUACAUUCCUUCAUAUCAUAGUUAGUAGACUUUAGCUAGGUAAACAUGACAUCACCAAGAUCCAUUGAAUCUGAGUGGUGGCCUUUAACCUAUUUCAUAACAUAACCAAAUGAUAUGGGUCAAAGCCUGAAUUAAUAUAUCAUCUUUUCAGGUUCAACACCUGUAUUCUAAGAGUGAGUAUUAGGCUUGUUAGUGGGUCAUAUUUCAAAUCAAUGUCCUAAGUCAUAAUAGUUAUUUUCACCUUCAAUAAGCAAACAACCAUAUAUUAGUUUACGCAUACCUUUAGCAUAUAAGCAUAAUAAAUAUCUUUUAUAAUUAAAAACAAUCACGAAGCAACUUAUCUAAGAUAAGAUGUUUUAUGGUGAUUUUCAUCUUUUUUUUAGCAUAACCAACUCUUUACCUAAAAUCUCUAAAACACUAGUUAGGGUUUAUAGUUACCACAAAACUAGGUGGUGACUUCUGAUUAGUACUUAAAAGUGCAUUUUUAUCAAGGUUUUAUAUCAUCAUUUUGCACUUGAAGUAUCAAUAACUCCUUAACUAAAGCAUGUUUUAUAAUAACAUACUUAAUAAUAUAAGAUACCUAGUAAUUUAUGGUAAAUGUUCAUCUUAAAUGCAGGUCUAUCACAUAAAUGAAAUGAUUGAUUGAUGAGUUUAUGUAUGGAAAUUGAAAGGACAAAGAGAGAAUCAAACUUAGAAAAGAGAUGUUGGUGUAGUCCAAACUGGAACACUGUUCGGUAAUUGGGUCAUAUAUCGAGUUCUAGAUGUCCAAAUGACCUCAAGUUUUUGGACAUAUUCAGUAAGACAUAGGCCUACAACUUUCAUGUGGAGUCCAACAUUUAAAAAGACUGUUUUCAAGUUCAAAUUAUAGCAAUAACGAAGAAGUUCGAAUCUGUCCUAUAGCCCAGACAUUGUUCAGUGUUUAACCCAUAUCUCAAGUUCUAGAAGUCCAAAUGACCUCAAUUGUUUUUUCCUAGAAAGAUAAGACAAUUUCCUAUAACUUUCAUGGUAUAGGUGGUUCCAAUUUUGAUGCUAGCAAUGAUGUUUUAUUCAGACAAGAAGAUAAAGAUUUUCACCAAGUCCAGAGUUAGCCACCCACUCAACAAUUAGUCAUCAAAUCAAUAGUUCUAAAUUUUGGCCUAUAAAAUGAGGCAUUUGCCAUGCAUUUAGGCAUCUUGGUUGUUCAGAUCAAGAACUUUCUCUUUCUCUGUCUCUUUAUAUUUUUUUUUGUAAUUCUUAAGUUUUGCUUUCAUUAAUAUCUUGUUUAUGCUUUUCAUUUCCUUUCCUUUACUUAGUUAACUUAUAUCUUAUUUAUGUUCUUCUUUUGUUUAUUUAUGUUUCUCUUCUUCAUUAUGUUUAGCUAAGUUUAUUGGAGAACAUAAAAUUGAAAGAGCUUUACUUGAUCUUGGAGCUAGUGUGAAUUUACUUACAUAUUCAGUUUUUCAAAGUCUCAAUCUAGGUGAGUUAAAAUCAACUUUUGUAACUCCUUUACUUGCCGAUAGAUCUGUAAAAGUGCCUAGAGAAAUAGUUGAGGAUGUGUUAGUACAAGUCGAUAAAUUCAUUUAUCCUGUGGAUUUUAUUAUCUUGGACACACAACCUGUUGAAGCAUGUAAUUCAUUUCCUGUUAUUUUAUGACGUCCAUUUCUUGCAACUUUUAAUGCAUUGAUUAAUUGUAGGAAUGGACUGAUGAAGCCAUCAUUUGGAAACAUGACAUUGGAGAUGAAUAUUUUCAACAUCUGCAAGCAACCUGGAGAUGAUAAUGAUUUACAAGAAGUAGAUUUUAUUGAAGAAUUAGUUCAUGAUCAACUUGAAUCUACUUUGAGUAAAACUGAGUUUGAUGAAUCUGAAGAUUUGCAAAUGAUUUAUUCUCGGGAAGAAAUCACGGGCGAAAAAGGCACCGAAAAUGUUGAUGCAUAUCUUUUAUCAAGAGUGACAACAGAUUUGACAUCCGACAUCACACCAAUCGAUGAUUACUUUCCUAACGCAUCCUUACUUUCUCUUAGUUCAAUGCCUUGGUUUGCUAAAAAUAUCAAUUUUCUUGCUUCAGGAUUUUUGCCAGCUCACUAGAGUAUCAAAGACAAAAUAAAGUUUUUGAGCGACAUGCAAAAAUUUUGUUAGGAUGACCCGUACUUAUUCAAAUAUUGUCCUGAUCAAAUAUUUCAAAAAUGCAUUCCCGACAAUGAGGUAAGUAGUGUCAUUAAAUUUUGUUAUUUUAAGGCAUGUGGUAGUCAUUUCUCGUCAAAAAAGACGACUGAAAAAAUCUUACAAUGUGGAUUUUAUUGGCCCACCAUGUUCAAAGACACACAUGUGUUCUGCAAAGCUUGUGAAAAUUGUCAAAAUUAGGAUUUAUUUCAAAACAUAAGGAAUCAUUAGAUAAUCUUCUAUUGACUUUUGAUACGUAUCCUGAUGGAGAUGUGCAUUGUGUAUUUCAUGACUUAUGACCCCAUUUUCAUAAAUAACAUGCUUGAUAUAGUUUUGGGAAUCUGACUAAAAAAGACCCUAUUUACCAGUUUUUAAGAAAACUGGAUGGGAAGCCUAGCCCCGACCCAUAGAGGGCAUUUAAGCCGUUCUUGGAUGUAAAACCAGGGAAAGAUGCGAGCCACAAUCACAACUACUUGUACAUACACAUGCUUUUUCAAAAUAAAUAAAUAAAUAGAGAGAGAGAGAGAGAGAGAGAGAGAGAGACUACAACUGACCUACAUAUAGGUGGUAUGAUUUCAUUUUUAAUUUUUCAUCUAUAAAUUCUUCUCUUCCUUCCCUUCAUUUCUACUCAACCCAUACAUUUAUCAAAUAUAGAAGUGUGUAGAAAUGGCAAGUUCCUCAAGUCAUCACAUAAAUAAGCAAAUCAUCUUAGUCAGGUACUAGCUGAGCGAAAGAUUCAUUUAGUGUAUGGGGGAGGCAGCCUUGGGUUAAUGGGGGGAGUGUCAAUAGCUGCAUUUUUAGGAGGUAGUCAAAUUUUGGGGGUUGUCCCUAAAGCUUUAGCACAAGGGGACAUCAUUGAAAAAACAAUUAGAGAGGAACUACAGGUCCCCAAAAUGUCUGAUCGAAUGAAUGCAAUGUUUAACCAUGUUGAUGCCUUCAUUGCCUUACCAGGUGGUCUGGGCACAUUGGAAAAGAUCUUUCAUAUUUCUUUUUAGGCCCAACUGCUCAUUCACCAUAAACCCAUAGGUCUGUUAAAUGUUAAUGGUUUUUAUGAUAAGUUGUUGUCUUUUCUUGAUCAUGAUGUGGAAGAGGAAUUUCUAACAUUUUCGACACGACAAAUCAUAAUCUCUGCUGCUACUACUAAACAAUUGAUUGACCAAUUACAAUCUUUCAUCCCUGUAAUUGAUCCCUCCAUGAGUCGCAUAAAUUGGUCAACUAAGGAAAGCCAUAAAAAGAUUAGAUUGGAUUUGAGCCUGCGUUUGUAAAAACUUUGUGUCUUUUGGUUUUAUUAUUGUAUUUUGUUGUUUCUUAUAUUUGUUUAAGUGUAUUUUAGGUUUGUUAGUAUUCUUUAUUUCAGGUGAUGUCUUCUAUACUCUAUCUUUCUAUCUUAGGACAUUGAGGACAAUGUCUCAUUUUUGUUGGGGGGGGAAAAGGGUAGUAGUUGAUAUAUUUUUUUUUAAAAAAAACUAACUGUGUUUUCUAUUUCAUAAACUAUUUGCAAAACUGUUGUUAUUAGGAUGACAGAGUAAAAGGAGUUCUUUUGUUAAAGUGACUCUUGAGAUGCAUCUUAGUAAACAUUCUUAACAAGGUCUAUCAAAAUACUUCUUGAAAUAUUCAAGUUUACAAACUCUCGUAUUGUUAUCAGUUGAUUUUGCUCAUAUGCCCAUUUAACAAGUAUUCCUAAAUCUUGAUUUUCACACACACACUUUAACAUAUGAUUGUGGGUUGCACAUUGGAUUAUUACAUUAUUUAUGUUCUUUUGUUAAAGGUAAUAACUAAGGAAAAUGGAUAGUAUAUAAUUUGCAAAAAAAACAAAAAAACAAAAACAAAAACAUAGAUAAGUUUGGUUUCGUAGCCUCCCUAACCUAAGCAAUUAAGCCCGAAUGAGUGUUUUAACACUUAAUACCCUAAAGUCAACUGACUUGGGAGCUAUUGGCUCAACGCUUGUUACAUGGGUUGAGGAGAAAAACUUAAAGGAAUCAAACAUUGCAUUAUCUACGUAUCAGUAUCUGCAACCCGAGUUACUAAACUUGUAAGGGUGUCUCAGCACCUAAUGUCCUAAGACCAACUAGUUAUAUGUGUUAAAGAUGCAUUGUGUUUUAAGUUAUAUGUAUAUAUUAAAAAAAAAAAAGAUAAUAAUCUCAACCCAAGUAAGUUAACCUUAAACAUUAGAACAAAAAUUUGUUUUUCUUCCAAGUAAAGCCCUAUAACUAUAUGUUGAUAUUUUAAGCACAAAAGAAAGGUUUAUUAAUAUCUUGUUUAAGAGGUAUUGAACAAAUAUAUGAAUUUAAUGAGAGUUUGUUUAUCUGGAUAGAUUAAUUGAAGUUGAAUGAUGAAUGCCUUGCUUUGUAGAAUUUGCAAAUUGUUUUUCUAUUUUAACGCUUUGAUUACUAGGGACUAGUAAUAAGCUAGUUGGAGGGUGUGAUUAGUACUUAAAAGUGCAUUUUUAUCAAGGUUUUAUAUCAUCAUUUUGCACUUAAAGUAUCAAUAACUCCUUAACAAAAGCAUGUUUUAUAAUAACAUUCCUAAUAAUAUAAGAUACCUAGUAAUUUAUGGUAAAUGUUCAUCUUAAAUGUAGGCCUAUCACAUAUAUGAAAUGAUUGAUUGAUGAGUUUACGUAUGGAAAUUGAAAUGACAAAGAGAGGGCGUAACUUAGAAAAGAAAUGUUGGUGCAGUCCAAACUGGAACAUUGUUCGGUAAUUGGGUCAUAUAUCGAGUUCUAGAUGUCCAAAUAACCUCAAUUUUUUGGAAAGAUUUGGUAAGACAUAGGCCUACAACUUUCAUAUGGAGUCCAAGAUUUAAAAACGUCAUUUUCAAGUCCAAAUUAUAGCAACAACGGAGAAGUCUGAAUCUGUCCUGCAGCCCUGACACUGUUCAGUAUUCAACCCAUAUCUCAAGUUCUAGAAGUCCAAAUCACCUCAAUUUGUUUUCCUAAAAAGAUACGACAAUUUCCUAUAACUUUCAUGAGUACAGGUAAUUCCAAUUCUGAUGUUAAAAAUGAUGUUUUAUUUAGACAAGAGGAUAAGAAUUUUUACCAAGUCAAGAGUUGGCUACCCACUCAACAAUUAGUCAUCAAAUCAAUAAUUCUAAAUUUUGACCUAUAAAAGAAGGCAUUUGCCAUGCAUUUGGGGGGCUUGGUUGUUCAGAUCAAGAACUUGCUCUUUCUCUCUCUUUUUAUAUUUUUUUUGUAAUUUUUAAUUUUUGCUUUCAUUAAUAUCUUGUUUAUGCUUUUCAUUUUCUUUCCUUUACUUAGUUAACUUGUAUCUUAUUUAUGUUCUUAUUUUGUUUAUUCAUGUUUUUCUUCUUCAUUAUGUUUAGCUAAGUUUAUUAUGUCAAGGUGAAAAGGUUACACUAAUGGUGUAAGAAUAAGUAUAGUGUAAACUCAGCAUGGACCUUAAUGUUUAAUAUUAACAUGUCUUAUCUUUUUAUCUUACUAAUUCUUAAUACCUUGCUUGUUAAAUGGUUAAUAUAGAUUUGUAUUGUAUAACACUUGAUACAACAAAUAUUUGGCUCUCUCAUAGCCCAAUCAUAAAUGAAAGAAACUCGAUUUGUUAUUAACAUAAGUUAGCAUCAUGAAUUCCUGACAAUAUUUAAAAGUUUGGUGUUACUUAAAUAAGAUAAUUAAUAUGAUCAUGUUAAUAAUUUAUAAUUAGCUAUUAAUGACAAAUCAUCAUAUCGGAACCUUCUUUGUGUGUGGUUUCCAGUUGAAUAAUAUAAGUUUAUACUAUACUUGUUUGAAAUACCAUUAGUGGAUCCUCUAACCUUUACAUUUGUUUUUAUAAUUGUUUAAUCCUUACAUUAAUCUUCCAUCUUAAAGUUCUCAUCAACUUCUUCUUCAUUAUUAUUAUUAUUGUUAUUAUUAUUAUUACUACUACUACUAUUGUUAUUGUUAUUAUUAUUGUUAUUGUUAUUGUUAUUGUUAUUGUUGUUGUUGUAUUCUUGUUGUCUAUAAUUCAUACAAUUAACCUUCUUGUGGUUCGACCCCGGUCUUGCCGGGUUAUUUAUUACUUCGACACUCUUACACUUGGGAGAAGACAUCAAUGUUUUGGUCAUGUCAACUUCUUUUCUUUUCUUUUACUAUUUUUACAUAUAGUUCGCUGAAAUAUCCGUUAGGCCAUGAUUCACACAAUUCAAUAAUAAAUAAGAAUUUUAAAUUAAUUUGUACAUUAAAUUUUUUUUUCUAUUUAUAUUCAAAUAAAUUUUAUAAAUUCCAUUCAAAUAUCUACUAACAUAUUCUAAAAUAGACUUAGCUAUAAUAGCUAGCCAUUGUGUUUUUUUUUCAUAUCAUUAUCACUAGUUAAAAGCUCUUUAUUCUAGAAAAAUGAAUAGUUAAAAGCUCUAUUUGUAGCAAGCACUGUAGCACUCCUCAAUAGAUGAGGAGGGAAAAUGUAGUGAGUUGGUCAUGAAAAAAAAAAAAGUCGGGUCUAGAUUUUGAUUCAGAGAUGGAGAAUCUACUAGAAUUGAGUCUUGAUCCUUUUUCUUUUUAGGUGAUUUUGCUGUUGGAAGAUCCAAUCUUUUGUCAAGAUUUACAAAAAAAUGUAUUCAAUUUGGAAUCCAGAUUCACCAUUGGUUUUGAAUUUGCCACUUGUAGUUGUCAAGGCUUAGAUCUAGGGCACUACUAGCCAAGAAAAGUCUAAUAUUUUCUCUUUCUUUUUUUUUUUUUUUUUUUAAUCAUGGAUAUUUCUAGUAUUUUUAAUAUGGGUUUUUGUCUUGUUUUUUGAAAUUUACAUUUUGGUCUAUCAAAUUUUGAUAAGACAACCGAAUUUUAUUGGGUUUAAUUCCUUCGUUCAUUCUGGUUUGGUGUAGUAAUUUCUUAUUCAGGAUUUGCAAUUAAUAUCUUAAGCUUUUAUAAAGGAAUUUUAAAGAAGUUUGCAAGAUUAUAUGAAAAAUAUCUAUUAAAUAAGGCACUCUUUGAGUUCUUUAUUGGUAAAAAUAUGGUUACAAAAUGGUUGGAAAUAAUUUGCUAAGCAUUACUCAUUAACCCUCAGGUCCCUGCUGGUUUUUUAAUAUAAGAAUAAUUGUCAUUUUCUUGUUCUCAUUGGACAAGACUGCUAUGGAAAUUGAAGAAUCAUGUUUUUCUCUUAGAUUUUACUCGUCAUCAUUACAUAAGAAAUUUGUUUUCCUUUAUUGUUAGUGAUUCAUGGGAUUUGUUGUUGUAGCAAUUCACACUCUAUUGUAUUGAUUAAUUUCCUCUCUAGUUCAGUAGAUAGCAUAAUAAGUUAUGUUAAUAAAUUCUUAUGUGUUGAACUUUCUAGAACGAAGUGGUUCAGUGAUCAAAACAUAACAUUUUAUAUGCCUAACAUGCAUGCUUUUACAAUGAAAAUUAACUCAACUCUCUACUAUCUAGUUUAAGGACUCCAGUAUGAUAUCUCUCAACAUGUAGCAAUAAAUUGCAAAGUUGUUCCAUUUAAAGAUUUUUUACCAGUUGUAAUUUCACCAUUUAAUAUAAAUGAUAUAAUUUGUACCCAAUUCAAAUUCUUUUAUAAAAAAAUUUUAUACUAGAAAUCUACACUUUCAAGUAUAUUUGCUUAAUUUCAAUUUCUUUCUUAAUCCCAAUCACUUAAAAAAAAUUCUCAUUGGAAUCUCAAUGCAAUAACUAUUUCAUUAAUCUUAUGUAUGAAGGGUUCAACAAGAAGACAUAGUUUUCACAAGAAAGUUAUGAUCUACCCACUCAAUACUUCAAUCAAUCUGUUAUGUCAUUUCAAAAUCCAAGUGAAAAUCCACUUACAACUAAAAAAAUGAAACAAUUGAGCAACUUUAAGGAUGAAGAAGAUAUUUGCCUUAUAAAGGCAUGAAUCAACACUAGCAUCGAUCUACUAUAUGAAAAUGAAUAAAAAAAAAAAGUAAGGUGUAUUGGAAAAAAAAUUCACGAUAACUACAACAAAAACAAGAAGUUUGUAUCUGAGCGUACAUCAAGUUCUCUAAUGCAUCAUUUGUCAACCAUUUAAUUAGCGGUUAAUAAUUUUUGUACGCACUAUACAUAAAUCAAAAAUAAUAAAAUGAUUUCACCUAUGAAGACAAUGUAUUGUUUAUAUAAAUUUCAUAUAUUUAAAUUCAUUUAAAUAUUAUUUGUUUUAAGUAACACAUUCCAAUGUGCUUUAAUAUUAGGUCAAUGAAGCGAAGAUUGCAUAUAGGGGUGAUCAUUUUUUGUUUAAUUUGGUUUUUACCUAUAACAACAACCAAACCAUAAUUUUGAAAAAAAUCAAAAACCAAAACCAAUUUCAACUUACCAGUUUUGAUUUGGUUUGGUUCUUUAAGUCAAAAACUAAAAAAAACCUAUAUUGUUUAUUUGUGCUUUUUUUUUUUUACUUUCUAAUGGGCUUGUAAUUGAUGUUUAUAUUGUCUAAUUUUCUUAAAACAUUCCAAAGUAUAUUUAAUUUUUUUGCCAUUAAAUAUUCAUUUGUAUGAAAUUGUUAAUGCCAAUCUUGAGUUCAAUAUUUUUUUUGUCUUCCUAAUAUUUUUCUUUUGUUUUCUUUGAGUGAACAUGACUCCUGUUGUAGAAGAGUUUAAAUAACACACACCAAUAAGUUAAAAUCCAAAUUAUAAAGCAUUGCCUUUAAAGGGCUUAAAAAAACAAAUAACAUUGUCAUAAAACACGCAAAGCCAAAAAAAAUAAAUCUUCGUUGUGCACAUCAUCUUAAUCAAAAAGCACAUCAAGAACAUUGCACUUUGAUUCCUUAAUGGUUAAUGCUAUUGACAUUAAAACUUUAAAUUCAAAAUCUAGAAUUAUAACAUGAUAAAUUAAAUUAGAAGAUAUAAAUAAAAUGUAGUAUUUUUACCAUAUGUUUUCAAUAAAUGCCUCAAUUUUUAAACUAAUUAUCAUCUAUUGCUAGAUGUAACUUUCCUCCAAAUUAUACAAAAUAAAAAAUUAGACAUGUUAGAAUGAAAAUGCGUUAAUUAAUAAAUCAUAAAAUAAAAGGUGUGAGUUUAUAAGAAAAAUUACUUGAUUCAAGGAUUUCGUAGGUUUCAAAAUCAUUCAUCAAGGUUCUAAUAUCGGUUGGAAUUGGUUCAUGAUGCAACCAAUUUUGACAACAAAUAAGUCUUUAAAUUGUUGCUGAAGAUAGAGAACUUUGAAAUUGGUCAAGUAUAUGACCGCCUGUGCUAAAUCCUGAUUCGAAAGUCACUGUGGAUAUAGAAAUAGUUAGAACAUGUUGUGUAACCUUCGAAAGUAUUUUAUAUUUUGAAGCAUUACUCUUCCACCAACCCAAAAUAUCUCAUUUAUCAUCAUUAGGAUCCUCACAAUCAUCAACCAAAUACCUCUUAACCUCAUUUAUAUUUUCCACCUUUUCUUCCUCUUGUAAAUGCCUUUUGAAUCGAGUUAAAGUGUUAACAUCUACCUCCAUAUAUUCAAUAGCAUUAUUAACAUCUUGUUUAUGCCUAUUAUCAUCCACCACUUCAUCAGGUUUCAAAUAAAACUUAUAAAACCUCACCAAAUUAGCUUUCACCUUUUUUGUUAGCAAUUGUGCUUUGUCAUAAUCAUACAACUCACCAAAAUAAAAUUUCACAUAUUUUAACUUGAGAUGUGGAUCCAAAACAUUAGUCACAUAUAAUAAAAAUAUAUUAUUUACUUCACAACCCCAUUGCCCUUCAAACUUCAAUAUCAUGUUCAUCGUCAUUCCACUUAAAAGAUUAUCUCUACUUUUACACAAUUGCAACAAUUUUGUAUGCAUAUAAAUCAAUUCAUUGAAGAAAAAAAAAGUUGAUGUGAUGUGCAAUGAGCUAGAAAAUCUCAAUGUAACCAUGUAAAAGAUCUUUAAGAACUUUAACAAAGUUCUAACAUUUUCCUAAUCCUCCAAACUAGGUGGCUUUAUGUUUUUUUUACCCCCCUAUGAAUCAUCCUCCAAAAAGUAACUCAUAUACCUAGGUUCACUUUUACCUAAUCUCACAAACACCUUUUCAAACUUUUCAGAAACUUCUAACAUAAGAUAAGUUGAAUUCUAUCGAGUUGCAACAUCCAAACACAAUGAUUUCUUACAUUCUAUAUGCAACUUCUGCACACUUCUUAAAUACAAGUUGCUUAGAAGGUGAAGAUCUCACAAACUUAAUUUCAUUUUGAAACUUAACAACCAAAACAUUAAUCUCUUUCAAGCCAUCACACACAAUGAGAUAUACAAUGUAUUAACAACAUCUAACAUGCAAAUUCUCAUUUGACAAUAUAUUAGUUGGUCAAUCUUUCAUCACAUUAUUUAAAUAUGAAAUAGUCACAUUUUUAGAGCUGGCAUUAUCUACUAUAACCAAUGUUUUUAAACCCGACCCGGUGGUUGACCCAGCCCAAGACCCGGGUAAUGGGUUUUGACCAAGUCACCGAGUCAUCCGAGUCAACCUUAAUUUUUUUAUAAAUCAAAACAGUGUUGUUUUAGUUAAAAAAAUAAAUAGUCAAUGAGUUACUGUUGCGAUGUCGCGGUCGCACAAAUUAAUUACCCUAGCUUCAAACACAACACACAAGAUAGUAUAGAGCAAGCAAGGGGUCGAUCCCACGAGGAAGAUUUAGUUCAGAUUUUUAUGCUAUUCGUUAUGCAAUUUGGGGGGGGGGGUUGGAUGUUAUAUAGGCUAAAGAAAAAUAAAACAGAAAACUAUCAAACAAAAUUUAAUAAAAUCAGAAAAUUAUCAAGAGAACAAACCUUGGUCGCAAUCACACAUCCACCUAUAGAAAUCAGAACUGAUCCUUGAAACGAAAUUCCAGUUUAUAUUCUGAAUUUUUAUCUUUUCUUAACGUUGGUUAAUUAACGGAUCCGCCGUAUAACUAACCCUAACCAACAAAUAAUCACAGUGUCCGCACUAAUGAUUUAAUCCAAUGGCAGCCUUAAGAUCUAAAUAAAUUCAUUAUCUUAACAACUAAGUUGUCUGCUUAUGUUGCUUUGAUUUGAAUGUUCUCCCUAAGAUUAAUAACGUAGAUCCGCUACAAUUAUUAAACUCAGUUGCUUCACAAGUUCAUAUACCACAACUCCGGUUUUGAUAUCAAACUUAGCAAUAAAUUGUCUAUAAUAAUAACUUAGAGUCCGCUCUAGCAAUUAAAAUAAACAAUCAUAGGAAAAAUAAGCAUAGGAGAACAAACAUAUUCAUCAUAUAAACUGAAAAGAAAAGGUAAAAUAGAUCUCACAGUUCUUGAAAUCCGAAGGUUUCCGUGUCCUUGCAACCAAGAAAAUGAGUUUAGCCUUGCAUGUUUAUUGAAUAACUAAUCAAAAAGAUGGAAGAAUGCAUGAUUUAGGGUUUCUUAGAGUAGGGGGCGUUUUUCUCCUCUUGGGUGGCUGCCCCCUUCUCUUCUCUCAUUCUUUUUAUAUGCUAGGAAACCCUAAUCUCUAUUUUACAAAAUAGUCCUCCUUAAGUAGACAAUUUACAUUUAAGUAGUUCAAUAACUAUUUUCCUAAAAAAAGAAAUAGCUUUGCAUGAAAUCUUCAAGCUUUGACUUAGAGGAGCUACAUUGCUGAAAUAAAAACUUGGAUGUCGGUUUAGAUGCUUCGGAACGUAAUCUGGACUCGUUUCUUCACGAAACCUGUUUGCUGGCAGAAUUCAGUUGUCAUCUUUGAAAAUCAUAUCUCCCUCAUAUGACAUUUUUUGGCUGAAAUUUGGAGCGUUUAUAGGCCUUUGAGUCAGGAAUCCAAAACAAUUGAGUUUGCAUCAAUUGGACUUUUUAGCUCUAGAUAUUCAAGUUGGAAUGACCAAAGGUCAACAUUGGCAGAUUGCGAGAUUUGACUUUGAAAGCUGCGAUUUCCAUGCUCUUCCUUAUUUUAUUGUCUUGCCUUAGAUGUCUAGAAAGGUAUGGAUGUUAGCUUUUUAAUGCCACUAGAAUCACUUCAUUUCGACCUUUAGAGCUCACGUUCUGCACAAAACAUCGACUGAACGUCAAAUCUGCCAAUUACCUUCAAUUUACUCCUUUUUGCAUCUUUCAUCCAAAAGUGCCUUCAAAACAUAAAACAAAGAAUAUCAAGGCAUUUUAUAUAUAAAACAUAGGCAAAACACUAGUUAAAUAUGGGUGAAACUAUCGAAGAAUAUGGUUGCAUCACAUACCCCCACACUUAGCUCUUGCUCGUCCUCGAGAAAGGAUAGGUAAAUUCAAAUCAUUAUGACCAAUCUCCUAAUCUCCCAUCAAUAUCUAAGAAUAUAUGCAUUAUAAACAAGAACACAAUUAAGAAGGAUAAAGAGUAUAAAUUUUCAUGAAUUUAUUUACAUGCAAACUUCAAAACUCAAUUAAUUGUCGGGAUUUAAAUGAAAUCUAUGCCAUGCCAAAGUGAUAGGUCCUCUCAUUGAUAUACACUCCAACACUCAUGUGUUUAGGGCUUAUGUGUUUAAAUCUCCUAAAUUCAAUCAAUGAAUAUGUUCUACCAUAAGCUUGCUCUUCAAUCUCAUCUCCAUUACUAACAUAUUACAAGCAAUGCAUGAAUCAAAAAGUCUUAUUUCCGGUUGUAAUGGGGCUAAGGUUAAGGUGAGGUAAAAGAGAGUGAAAGAAAAGGUUUAAAUCAAAGAAAGUAGAGCAUUCUAAAAAAAUAAUAUUUCAAACAAGAUAUUCCAUCAAAGCACAUAAAUUUUUCAUCUUUAAUCACCAAUGUUUAACUUCUUUUUUUGAUUUCAAGCUCUUUCAACAUAAAAUCUUAAGAACAUAAAGGAACACUUAUUUCUUUUUCUUUUUUUUUCUUUUUUUUUUUUUUUUUUUUUUUGUUUUUCACCUUUGGCAACUUUGCCCAUUUUCAUCAAGCAUCACUUCUUCUUUCUUUUCACAUAAUUUCCAACCAUAAUUCCAUAAGAUAUCACAAGUAUAUGCUCUACUAAUCCUUGGCCAGGGGAAAAGGAAAACAUAUAUAAAGUUAAGGCUUAUACAUGGAUAAAGCAAAGAAAAGAUAAACAAGCUCAAAAGGGGCUCACUAAGGAUAAUAUGCUUUAGGUUGGCUUUUUGGCUCAAGUGGUUAAAAUUCCUAAUGCCUUUAUCAUCUUCAUGUAUAUUUGUAAUGCGAAUGUAAUCUCAACAAGAUAUGAAGCAAGUUCUAGAGAUACAUAUCAUUGAAAGAAUGCACACUCAAAGAAUAUAAUGUUGAAGGCUCAAAAGCUUGCAUUGGUAUAACACUAUAAAGUCAACAUGGCAUAUUCUCAAAGUCAAUCCCUAAACCAAUUAAACCUUAAAAUUUGCAUGCAUACUCCUUCAUUUGAUUUAUAUCUUCAUCUAUCUCAAUUAAUUCUCAUAUAUAAUACUCAUAUUCUCAAAAACCAAUGGAGUUAAAAAGAUCAAACAAAUUUUUUUUUUUUAAGAACAACAAAGAAAACUAAAAUAAGAAAACCAAAAUUCUCUCAAUACCCCCACACUUAAAACACAACAUUGUCCUCAAUGUUGAAAUAAAAGCAAAGGAACAUAAGAGAAUGACAAAAAUAAAUUAAAAUGCAAAAAAUAAAAGAUAAGGAAAAAGAAAGCAAAUCUGAUUUUUUUUUCUUUUUGUGCUGGGUUGCCUCCCAGUAAGCGCUUUUGUUUUAUGUCAUUGGCUUGACAUGUGCAUGCUCAUUCUUCAUAGAUUGGUUCAGCUAACUCUACAGAAGCGGUGAGUUCUGUGUCCAACCUUCAUAGAAAGGUUUCAAACGAUGCCCAUUGACCUUGAGUACUUUGUUGGUUUCUAAACUUGUAAUUUCAACUGCACCAUAAGGAAAAACAUUAGAAACAACAAAGGGUCCAAUCCAACGAGCGCAACUUUCCAGGAAAAAGUUUCAAACGCGAAUGAUAAAGAAGGACUUUGUCUCCAACAUUAAACUUUUCUUGUAAUCAUUCGGUCAUGAGACUCUUAGUUUUUCUUUGUAAAUCCUUGCAUUCUCAUAAGCAUCAUUUUGAAUCUCUUCCACGUAAUUCCAAUCUUUUUGGGCACCAAAAGGAUAGGCGCCACCCAUUCACUGUCCGUGAUGGGGUAAAUGACUCCUGCAUCAUUAGGAACAGUUUGCAAAGCUUGCAAAACCAAUGCUGAUUCAUGUAUGUUUUGGGGAACACAUAUGUGCCUCUCCAUCUCUUCUAUCUCGGUAACAUUAUAGCCAUAGCUCAAAGCUAUCAUUAAUCUAUCCUCACUAUUAAAAUCACAAACUAGUUGUACACACUUAUCAACUUGGUCAUAACAUGUGAUAGAAUAAACAUUGCUAUAAGGAUAUUUCAUUGCAUCAUGAAAAUUAAAUUCAAUCUUUUCAUCUCCUACUUCCAUAGACAAAGUAUCCUUACCACAAUCAAUCUUUGUAUUGGCAGUUUUCAAGAAUGGUCUCCCAAACAAUAUAGGAGUGCUAUUUGAUGAAUCACAAGAAUUAUGUUCCAUAUCAAGAAUAUAAAAAUCACAUGGAAUGACCAAACUAUCAAUCUUGACUAGGACAUCUUCUAUCACACCAAGUGGGUAAACAAAACUACGAUCCGCAAGUUGUAUUACAAUGCUAGUUUUAUUCAAAGGCUCAAGACUAAGAGAAUCAUAAACAUGUUUGGGCAUAACACUAAUGGAUGCACCUAAAUCACACAAGGCCCUUUUGAAACUAGCAUUACCAAUAACACAUGGGAUAGUAAACGCACCUGGGUCUUUUGCUUCAAAGGCAUAUUCUUUUGAACAACAACAGAUACAACUUCACCCAUACUUACCAUUUCAUGACCUUUCAGUUUGAAAGCUCUCUUGGUAGUACACAACUCCUUCAAAAAUUUGGCAUACUUAGGAAUUUGCUUGAUAGCAUCAAGCAAAGGAAUGUUGAGUUCUACUUUCUUGAAAACCUCUAAAAUCUCUUUUUCUUUGUCCUCUUUCUUUGACCUAGAAGAACUCAUAGGAAAGGGUGGAAUUGUUUUAAAACUGGAAUUCAUUGAGUGAGGAGUUACCUUUGGAGUGUUGGUCGAUGUUUCAGUUUGUGGAGGAGGAGGAUGUUCCUUCUUUGUACUCAAUUCAGUUUCUAUCUCUUCUUCUUCCUCCAUCUCAAUUUGUUUCGACCUUUUCUCUUCAAGUUCUUUCCCACUUCGCAGCAUGAUCGCACUAACAUUUUCUAUUGGAUUCAAUGCUUGGGAGGGCAAUUUUCCAUUCAUUUGUGCUUCCAAUUUCCCCACACUUGAAGCUACUUGCCCCAUUUGCUUCUCCAAGUUGUGAAUACUUGACCUUGUUUCCUGUUGAAAAGACAUGACAUUUUGUUGCAAAGUCACAGUGUUAGAAGCCAAAGUUUUCAUCAUCUCACGAAGAUCAUCAUUGGAUGACGACCCCAUAACAUUGGAGUUUGUGAAUGGAGGGGGCUGUCUUGCUUGAUAAUUCUGUUGGGAUUGAAAUCCAUUGGGAUGGAAUUGUCGGCCUUGAUUGCCUUGUUGAGGUUGGUUCCCAUACCGUAGGUUAGGAUGAUCUCUCCAUCCAGGAUUGUACGUGUGGGAAAAAGGAUCAUACUUACGCUGAGGUUGUCCAUUAAAUGCUCCAUCAACUGCAUUAGCUUGUUCAAUGUAAUCUUCUUGCAUUGUUGGGCACAUAUCUGAAGUAUGUCCUUGUAAGGAGCAUAUGCUACAAGCUUUCACCUGUUGUACAUUGCCACAAGCCAAAGAACGCACAAGAGAAGUAAGAUCAUUAACUUUAUUCUCAAGGUUAGAAAUACUUACCUCAUUUACUCGUUUGUUUGCGAAGUCUCCACGAGUGCCAAACUGUUUUGAGUUGGCUGCCAUGUUUGAGAUAAUUGGCGUGCAGCCUCGGGUGUCUUAUCUACCAAUGCCCCUCCACUUGCAGCAUCAAUGAUACUACGGUCAGUAGGAUCAAUCCUUCAUAGAAAUAUUGAAUGAGCAGCUGAUCGGGUAUUUGAUGAUGAGGGCAUUGAAUACAUAGUUGCUCAAAUCUUUCCCAAUACUCGGAAAGUGUCUCUCCAUGAGAUUGUCGAAUCCCACAUAUUUCUUUCUUAUGUUGGCAACUCGAGAUGCUGGGAAAUACUUCUCAAGGAAGAUCUUUUCAUGCCAUUCCAAGUUCCAAUUGAACCUGGGAGAAUGGAGAAAAGCCAUGCUUUGCUGCCCCUUUUAAAGAGAAAGGGAAAGCUUUCAACUUAACUGUUCUUCGUCAACUCCAUUCGGUUUCAUGCCAACACAAACCAUAUGGAACUCCUUGAGAUGAGUAUGAGGAUCUUCUCCUGCAAGACCAUUAAAUGUUGGUAGCAAAUGUAUAAAACCAGAUUUGAGCUCAAAGUUUACAUUAUUGUCGAUGUUUAUGCACAAUGGUUGAUUUUCCACGUUAGGAGCAGCAAGCUCCUUGAGUGUUUGUUGUCGUGCAAGCCAUGGUGUUGAGGCGAGCUUCCUUUCGUAACCUGCGUAAAGUUUUUCUAUUUCGAGAUCUAACUGCACUUGACUUUGAUUAGUAGAACGGGUUACUGGCAUAAAGCAUAAGAAAACUCAAAAGAAACCAACCACGCAAGAGAUCGAAAACAAUGCAAAUUAUACGAAAAUCUAUUAGAAAACUAAAACUGCCUAAAAACCCUAGAAAACAGAAUUUGGCCUCGAUAGAGUGGGGCUAGUGGUUUACCACUAGUCUGUUUAGAACGUCGUUUCCUUCAAGAAACAAAAGAUAAAACCUAAUUCCACCAAACAAUCUUUUUGAACAGUACCGCUGCCGCAAGUGAACAGUACGCGCAAGCAAAAAUUCUUUUUUUUUUUUUUUCAAAAUAUAAAUAACAAUCACAGCAAACUAAAAAUAACAGUAAAAGCACAAGAAUCAACUAAAAUUACUUCCCCGGCAACGGCGCCAAAAUUUGUUGCGAUGUCGCGGUCGCACAAAUUAAUUACCCUAGCUUCAAACACAACACACAAGAUAGUAUAGAGCAAGCAAGGGGUCGAUCCCACGAGGAAGAUUUAGUUCAGAUUUUUAUGCUAUACGUUAUGCAAUUUGGGGGGGUUGGAUGUUAUAUAGGCUAAAGAAAAAUAAAACAGAAAACUAUCAAACAAAAUUUAAUAAAAUCAGAAAAUUAUCAAGAGAACAAACCUUGGUCGCAAUCACACAUCCACCUAUAGAAAUCAGAACUGAUCCUUGAAACGAAAUUCCAGUUUAUAUUCUGAAUUUUUAUCUUUUCUUAACGUUGGUUAAUUAACGGAUCCGCCGUAUAACUAACCCUAACCAACAAAUAAUCACAGUGUCCGCACUAAUGAUUUAAUCCAAUGGCAGCCUUAAGAUCUAGAUAAAUUCAUUAAUCUUAACAACUAAGUUGUCUGCUUAUGUUGCUUUGAUCGAAUGUUCUCCCUAAGAUUAAUAACGUAGAUCCGCUACAAUUAUUAAACUCAGUUGCUUCACAAGUUCAUAUACCACAACUCCGGUUUUGAUAUCAAACUUAGCAAUAAAUUGUCUAUAAUAAUAACUUAGAGUCCGCUCUAGCAAUUAAAAUAAACAAUCAUAGGAAAAAUAAGCAUAGGAGAACAAACAUAUUCAUCAUAUAAACUGAAAAGAAAAGGUAAAAUAGAUCUCACAGUUCUUGAAAUCCGAAGGUUUCCGUGUCCUUGCAACCAAGAAAAUGAGUUUAGCCUUGCAUGUUUAUUGAAUAACUAAUCAAAAAGAUGGAAGAAUGCAUGAUUUAGGGUUUCUUAGAGUAGGGGGGCGUUUUUCUCCUCUUGGGUGGCUGCCCCCCUUCUCUUCUCUUAUUCUUUUUAUAUGCUAGGAAACCAUAAUCUCUAUUUUACAAAAUAGUCCUCCCUUAAGUAGACAAUUUACAUUUAAGUAGUUCAAUAACUAUUUUCCUAAAAAAGGAGAAAUAGCUUUGCAUGAAAUCUUCAAGCUUUGACUUAGAGGAGCUACAUUUCUGAAAUAAAAACUUGGAUGUCGGUUUAGAUGCUUCGGAACGUAAUCUGGACUCGUUUCUUCACGAAACCUGUUUGCUGGCAGAAUUCAGUUAUCAUCUUUGAAAAUUCAUAUCUCCCUCAUAUGACAUCGUUUUUGGCUGAAAUUGGGAGCGUUUAUAGAACUUUGAGUUAAUAAUCCAAAACAAUUGAGUUUGCAUCAAUUGGACUUUUGUAGCUCUAGAUAUUCAAGUCGGAAUGACCAAAGGUCAAUAUUGGCAGAUUGCGAGAUUUGACUUUGAAAGCUGCGAUUUCCAUGCUCUUCCUUAUUUUAUUGUCUUGCCUUAGAUGUCCAGAAAGGUAUGGAUGUUAGCUUUUUAAUGCCACUAGAAUCACUUCAUUUUGACCUUUAGAGCUCACGUUCUGCACAAAACAUCGACUGAACGUCAAAUCUGCCAAUUACCUUCAAUUUACUCCUUUUUGCAUCUUUCAUCCAAAAGUGCCUUCAAAACAUAAAACAAAGAAUAUCAAGGCAUUUUAUAUAUAAAACAUAGGCAAAACACUAGUUAAAUGUGGGUGAAACUAUCAAAUAAUAUGGUUGCAUCAGUUACAACCAGGUUUUUAACCGGAUCUUUCCAGAUUAACUAGGUCAACCCGCUGGGUCAGCCGGGUCCCGGGUUGACCUACCAUACCGGGCUGGGUUUUAAAUCUAUGACUGUAACAGUCAAAAGUUUAUCAAUCCCCCACUCUAACAAGCAAUUCUCAAUAACUUGACCAAUUAUCCUACUCAUAUGAUUGAAAAAUUGACAAAAAUUAAGAAUUCUUUUAUAAAAAUUCCAUUAAUUAUCAAUCCAAUAAGUUGUUAAGGACAUAUAGUUAAUGUUUUAGAUUGAUAUCCAUGUAUAUGUUGUAAAGCAUAAUCAUUAACCCUUAAGAGUUGUCCUUAAUAUUCCCUUCUCUUCAAUAUAAAGUUUCAAACAAUCUUUCAUAACAGUGAAACGAUAAGGAAUGUCAAAUCUAGGUUACAAGAUCCUAGAAAAUAAUCUAAAUCCCUUACCUUUUAUAAAAUUAAAAGGCAACUCAUCAAUUAUAACCAUUUGUACUAGUGCUUGUCUACAUUCAUCAUAAUUAUAACUUAUUGCCUUAAGAGUUCCCACAUUUCGAUCUCCUGAUUCACCCUUCUCUUUUGUAGGUUUUAAUACCAAAUUUUUUUGCUUCUUAUCAACCAUAAAAUAAAAAUCUUUGCAUACUUUUAAAUGACUCCAUAUAUUACUUGUCUCAUUAAUAAUAGUAUCAUAUGCAUAAUUUUUUAUAUCAUCAAAUUUUUUUUCCUUGAUGUAAGGACUUGAGGUUGUUUACCUUUUUUAUCCAUGACGGAUCCUACAUUAGUUGAUGUUGGGUUAGUGUUUAAAGUUGGGGUAUUGGUUGAUGUUGGGGUUGUAUUAAUGGAUGAAGCAUUUUGAUUUUGAAGGUUUUCCAUCUAUAAUUACCAAAUGAAAACAUUAAAUAUUUAUGCAUUUUGAAAUGUGCAGUAUAACUUUUAAAAAAGGUCGAUAUGCGGGAUAAAGUGAUGGAAAACAUAGCAUUCACCAAACGAAGAACUCAAAACAAUUAAUUGCAAUUCCAUGAUGCAACAGCCAUCAACUAUAGGUAAAAGAACCUAAAAAUAGAUAAGCAUGAGAGAGCACCAAUUAGAAACAAUCAAGAAAGAAAAUAAAAGACUAAAAAACCAAACUGAAACAAAGACUGCAUAAACCAAAAGAAACAAUAGACAACCAACUGGACUUGAAGCACAUAAACAACAAUGAAUCUCAACAACCUCACUUGGAAAAAUAGCAGAAAGCUUUCGAAAACAAUAAAAACAAAGAACCAAAGCAUAACAUGGUAGUGGAACAGAACAUAGAGCAUGAAAAGAAGGAUUUAAACGGCAACCCAAAGCAAAAAAAACAAAAACAUAAUGCAUGAUGAACAUGUAAAGAGACAAAAGCAAACAACUAAAUAAAAAGAGAGCAGCAAGACUGGAAAUAACACACCACAAUUAAAAGAGAAAAAAGAGCAACACGGACUGUUCCACAAAGCUGCCUUGCACAAACUGCAUAGUUAAAAGAAAAUACAAACUAAAAAGGGUAAUUUUAUUAAAAUCUAAAAUAUGGUACACGUAGCUAUGUUUAUUCAGCCUAACAUCUAGUUUCUUUCCACUUUCUAUCAUUUUAUAAAGUUAUGUUUUUUUCCAUGUAAUUAUGGAGAUAAAUCAAAGGAAGACAUAAAAUAGUUAACCAAACUAUGAAAUGUUGUAAAAAUACCUUUGUGUUAUUAUUUUUUGUGACAUUGAAGGCAACCAAUCCAAGAUGAAAACAACUCCAAGCCCUUGCAAGAAACACAAAAUCCACACCAGAAAAAUGAACAACGAGGCAACAUAAAAGUGUAUGAUGAAACAAAAUGAACAAAAAGCUAAACAAUAAUUGAGGCAAGAAUAGAAUCACAAAGCCAAAUAAGAAAAAGUUGGGCAAGAAAGAACCUUAGCAUCUUAGCAAAAUCAAUUCUUCCACAUGCAAAAAGUUCACGUCUAAGUACCAUAUACUUGAGCAUAAAAAAAGAAGAAGAAAAGGUAUCUAUUGUUAUAGCAACAAUCAGAGUUUCAUAUCCAUAGUUAGAAUUAUCAAUAGGGGAAGAUUGGUUAGGCAGAAGACUUAGAUUUCAAGAGUGACGAGUCAUCACAAACCAUGUGAUAGUCAACUCUUUACUAUUUGUAAAAUCAAAGGAAAUUAGGUGUUGAUUUUUUACAACAAGCACAUGUUGACUUAAUAGAAUUUAGAAACAUCGAGAAAUCAAAAACAUAUGUCAAAGAAAAAAAUAACAGAGAGAGAAAUCUUACUUCAAAUAACUAAAGAAGGGUUAUUAUAUGGAAUGUUGUUGAGGCUUGUGGGUGUUGCUAGGAUUCUAGAUCUUGAGAUACAAAUUAAAGAAUGAAGAACGGAAGGCUAGGUGUGACAUAUGGGAGCUUGGGUGGGAGUGGUUGGUUUGCUAGAUAUGGUGCUUACUAAUGAAGAUUAUGGAAUGAAAUGAGCCAAUGAAGAUUAAAGAAUGAAGAAUUAGGUGUAGACUUGUGAGUGUUGUAGUGGGAAGUUAUAAGGAUUGAGGAGUUUUGGCCCGUGUGGCAUGUCUAUGUCUCUAAAUGGAGGGGAGAUUACUAGGGUUAUUGGGUUAGAAUAAAAAUCUUUAUUUAUUUAUUUAUAGUACCUUUUCUUUUAAUCUGAACCAAUUCAGUUUGGUUAGGGUUUAUCGGUUUCAGCAUUAUAAAACCGAAUCGAACUAGAAGUUUUUCUAAAUAUUCUAAUCGAUUUUUUCUAUGGUCCGGUUUUUUCGGUUAUUUUUUUUAUUUUCUCGGUUUAAUCAGUUUUUAAAUAUUUUUGCUUACCCCUAAUUGCAUAUCAAAAAAUUUAAGAUCAACCAUUCUUAUUUCAAUAUUGUUAGGAGAAAUUGAAGAGCCAACCUAGAUGGAUGAUUGAAAACUCAAAGAAAAAGUUAAAAAAUAUUAGAAAUACAACUCCCGCAUCUUAUUCUCUUCUUACUCAAAGUUCAACCAAUUUAGAAAAAGAUGAUGUUGUAUUUGGUGACAACGACAAUAUAACGAGACUAUUAGAUAGUAGAAUUGGCUUAAGCUAAAGGCCACUUAAGCAAUGGCCCAAGACCCCCACUUAAUAAAAAGCUCUAAGAAUAAGUAAGAUAUAUUUAUCAAUUAUGCGUUAUAAAUAAAGAUUGCUCCAUUUAACAAAAGACCAUAAAUACAAAAUGAAGAUUGUCCAAGGCCUUAUUUUGUCUAACGCCUCCAUUCACUUUAAGUUAGUUCUGAUAGGUAGAUAGGCAAUAAAACAAAAAACAAUUUAAAAGAAAAGGGGUAACAUAAAUUCUCAUGUUUGAUCGAUCAUAAAGGAUUAUAAAGAACAUGAAAUGAAAACAGAACGUAAAAAGAUUUUUUUUAAAAAAAAAAACAUAUGCUUUGGAAGAAGAGAAAGUAAAGACAAAAUAUAAAAAGGCAAAGUCAGAAUGAGACAAGAUUGUUAUUGUGAAAGAACUUUUAUUGCAAUAACAACAAGAAAGGGAGAGAAUAAUAUUGACAGAUACAAAAUGCAUGCCUUGACAUUUGGUUGAAUAUCAUAAGAUGCAUCAAAUGAAGAUACUAGUUAAACGACGUAAUAAUAAUAUGAAAUAACAUAUGCUAGAAUAUAAUAAAUAUCCUAAAAUGAAAAGGGGGUUGGGUUGGGAACAAUGAUUUUAUUGUAGCACAAGCCAUAUUUCAUUAUGGAUUAAAAACAAUAAAAUUACUAUUUUGCCCUUUAUUCAAAUAACAAGUGGUCUUGGUUAGGAAAGUAUCAGGGUUUUUUGUUUUAUAAGAACAGUGAAAAUACCAAAAUUACAUUAGAGAUAGAAAAAUUAUAUGCCUUUAGUCCAGGGGUAUUAACAAUUUUUUAUGUUUUAUGUUAUGUUUAGAUUACUAAAAUAGCCUUUAAGUCAACAUAAUCAAAGCUUUCGGUCAAGGAAUAUUUAUGUAUUUUCAAGUUGGUUUGGUUUUUUGUUAUUUUUCUAUUUUAUCAAAGGCAUUAUUGUGUUUUACCAUAAUAACAUAAUAUUAAAUUUUAAAAAGUUGUUGGUGCUAGCGUGAGAAACACCCCCACACUUUGGGCGGUAUGUGCAGUGCCUCCUGAUGGUUGAGCCUAUCCAUCCAUAGUGUGUUUAGAUGCUUCUUUGCAUCCUCUUUCAGGCGGUACAUCAUUGAUAAUUAGGUAGCUUGUUGCCGGUGAACAUUUCUUUUUCUUUUUUUCCUCUCCUCCCCCCAAAAAUUCCAGCCCAGUCUUCUUUAAUUUUGGUAUUUGUGCUUUGGUCAUUCUUUUUUUGAUUUCUUAUUUGUAUCCCUAACUCUUUUAUAAGAGUUUUAUUUCUUUUCAAUUUAGUCCUUCAAUUCUAAUUUGUAAUAUAUUAUACUUUUAAUUUGGUCUUUAAUUUUUUUAUUUUUGAUUUUUUUUAUUGACCAUUUUAAAAAAGUUUUUUUUUAAUUCCAUCAUUCAAUCUAAAUUUAUUUUGUGUUACUAUUUUCAAUUUGGUCCUUAAUUUUUAUUUUUAAAAAAAAAAUUUGUUGAAGUUUUUUUUCUCUUUAAUUUAACCCUCUAAAUGAAAAUUUAUGUCCUUUUUUCUUUUAAUUUAUUUUUUGUCAUUUUUCCUUUUAUACAAGUGUUAUUUAUUUUUUUAUUUAGUCUUUCAAUGUCAAUUUUUAAUAUGUUCUUUUUUUUACAUGGUCUUUAUUCUUUGGAUCUUUUUUUUUUUAAUCCAUUUAUAAAAGUUUUAUUGAUUUUUAAUCUUACAUUUCAGUCCAAGUUUAUGAUGUGAUAUUUUAAAAAAAAAAAAUUCUCCUCAUUCUUUUAUUUUUUUUCUUUUUGUUUGAAUUAUUUUUAUUUUUAAUUUAACCCUUCAAUCAAACAAAUUUAGUUGUCCUCUAAUUUAUUUUUUAUUUUGAUUUUCAUCAUCAUUCUUUUAAUUACUAUUUUUUUUAUUUUAUAUCCAUUUGUGUAGUUAUUAUUUUUCUCAUUAUGUUAUUAUUUGUUUAUUGACUUGAUCCAGUUAUUUUAUUCUUUUUUUACCCAUCCAAUUUUGUACUUCUGUUGUUUUAUUCCUAGGGUAUCAUGGUUUUAAUUAAAAAAUUAUCUAAUUAACAUCAUUAUCUUUUUUUAUUGUCUAAUAAAAUAAAAUCAAUUUAUUAAUUUCAGUCCGUCGGUCGGUGUUAUAAAUCAAAUCAAUAAUUUUUUUUAUUUUCUUAAAACACAUUUACAUCAUCAAACAUCGUAUUUUUGCUGAAAAUAUACGAUAUUAAUAGUAUGGUUGUUAACAGUCUUCGGCUGUGGAUGCUGUAAAUACAAGUCACCAAGGAAACCUAAUAAGAAAUAUUUUUCAACACUCAAACUGUAUAAAAGACCCAAGGGAGAUUAAUCCUUCUAUGUUUUCUGCUUAAAGAAAGGAUUUUGUUUCCCUUGUUUUAGUUUUAUUUGGACACAAAAACCUGACGUUAAGCUGCAAACUCGAGUUAACAACGACAAGAAUUUCUUGAAAAGGAAAGCUCUUUUUGAGAUUUGAUAAUCGGAGAAAGAUAAGAUAUACGAGUCAUAAAAGGCAAAUUACCCUGCUGUCUUGCAACUGAUAAUAAACUACGCUACCUUACUUUUCGCUUCACAAAGAAAAUUUCAGCUUCCCAAAGGUUUUAUAACAGGUAAGAAAACACCUCUCCUGUUUAUUCUGUCGAGAAAAUCGAGGGUGUUUUUUUUAGAGGGAUAGUAUAAAAUAUUAUACCUUUCUUGGAGUGUCGUGAUCUUGUUUCCGUCAAAUUAUUGUCUCCGAGACAACAGUCUUUAGUUCUUCACUUGUUCUACUUUUGUUGUGUUGUUUCUUAGCAGACAUGCCUGAAAAAGGAGAUAGCCAAUCAUGGAUUUUUCACCGUUCAAACUUUGUGCUCCAAUGGCGUUUUCAUGUACUAGCAGCCUUUGUUUUCCUCGGCUUGGUGGUUAUUGGGAGCAUAGAUGGGAGUACCAUUAGAAGCAUCGUCGAAUCAAGAAGGUCGACGAAGCAAUAUUCGACCAUGAAACCUCACACGCAACACCCUCUCACAAAUAUAACCCAGCAACAAGAAACCCUUCGAAAUUUCUCUGCAAUCACAAAAAAUGGCACCACCAAUACCCCAUUAGCCGAAGAGAGCAACGACAAGAAACCUCACACACAACACCCUCUCACAAAUCUAACCCAGCAACAAGAAACCCUUCAGAAUUUCUCUACAAUCACAAAAAAUGGCACCACCAAUAACCCAUUAGCCCAAGAGAGCAACGACAAUGAUACCAGAGUCCCACCUAGUUCA
rnacentral:lncRNA from 1 species